GGCCCUGCAGGCAGCGCGCGUCCCGGUCCCCGGUGCCUGCUAGAGGGAGAGAAGCGGACGGGGCGCGGCCGUGGAAGACAGGCCUCCUUCCUCCGGGGCCCGAGGGCCCCCGCCUCCAUCACCCAAUUCCCUUCCCAAUCGGGAAGGGAGAAGAAGCCCCUUCUGGCGCGCACACACCUCCCCCCUCCGCGGCCUCGGCCCUCGGAUUAGGUUACCGCGGCCAGGCGAGGGUUUUGACUGGUUACAGAAGAGCGCAGGAAACCCGCCCAGGCCAGGAGGAGCAGCGAGAGAUGGGGAGAGUCAUAGAGAGAGGAGAUGCGCUCACAGAUUACCCCCUCCUGCUCUGCUCCCGACCGCUAGGUUGGGCCCUGCAGCUUGGGGGAUCCUGGCCCUCACUCUGCCGCUACCCUCUUCUCCUCCGGAGGAGGGCUUUAUCCCGGAGCUAUUGUGUUUGUACCUCUCUGGAUUAGCCGGGACCCUGGGGUGUGUUUGUUCCCGGACCUUCGACAGCGCGCUUCAAGGGAAAGGAGAGCUCACAACACGGAGAGGAGCGAGGGAAGAUCAUUUCCUCCAAAUCGGCAGACAAGAGGCGAGCUUCCAAAAGCACCAAGUGUUCUCUGUUCCUCCCCACCCGCUGGACACCCCCCCACCGGGGAAAGUGUGCGAGCGCCCGGGGCCCAGAGCGGGCAAGAGGCCUCCCCGCGUGCCUGCGCCCCGCCGGCCCUCACCCCGCCGGCCCUCGCUCCCCGGCCGGGCCCACCGUGCCGCCCCGGCUCACGCUCGCUUCUCCGCCGUCUGCCACCUCGUGGACCUCAAGCAAUUUGUUACAUAAAACAAAACAGCCACCACACACAUGUGCCUGCAGCCCCGCAGCGACGGACACCCAGGGAGGCCUCGUCCCCUUCUCCUCCUCCCGCCACCACCGCCAGGCCAGUCUGCCCAGCGACCAGGAGCGAAGCGGGGUUGGCACUUGCAACCCCUUCCCCUUCCCCGAUCGCCUCGCCGCGCUGGUUAAAAAAACCUCCCUCCGGUUACCCCCACCAUGAAGGAAGGGGUGAUCGGAAAUACUCGGUUCAUGCACAAAGACGUACCACAAAACGAAUGCACAUUUCUGUGUGAAAAGGCUCAGAGGCGGAGGAGACAACGUCUUAGUGGAGCCCAGAAGUGAUGGGAAUGAGCGGGCGCUAGAGAACACUGGGCUUUGGGGCUCUGGCCCCACACACCUCACCAGGACUCCUAAUUCCCCGCCACCUCCGGCGGGUCCCCGGACACAAAUCGCCUUAAAUUCCAAAAGAGGGGUUCUCAGCCACCCGCCUCCCACAUACCUGCCCCUUCCUGAGGCUCUCUCUCUGUGUGGCCCUGAGCUGCUGGGCGGCCCAACAGGAAGCUCCACCAAUGAGUGCCCAGGGGCGCCCACUCCCAUCCACUCACUGCACCCCCGACUUACCCCCACCUCAUAUAUCAGCUGCGAAAAGGCAGGGUGGAAAGAGCAAUAAAAGGCAAAUGCAGCUUC